rnacentral:rRNA from 1 species
UACAGAGGGUGCAAGCGUUGUUCGGAAUUAUUUGGGCGUAAAGCGCGUGUAGGCGGCUUUUGUAAGUCGAAUGUGAAAGCCCUCGGCUUAACCGAGGAAGUGCAUUCGAUACUGCCGAGCUUAGUACCGGAGAGGAAGGUGGAACACCCGGUGUAGAGGUGAAAUUCGUAGAUAUCGGGUAGAACACCAGUGGCGAAGGCGACCUUCUGGACGGAUACUGACGCUGAGACGCGAAAAGCGUGGGGAGCAAACAGGG